AGCGAACGCUGGCGGCGUGCCUUACACAUGCAAGUCGAACGUGAAAGGGCUUCGGCCUAAGUAAAGUGGCGUACGGGUGAGUAACACGUAGGUAAUCUACCCCAGAGUUUGGAAUAACCUGCCGAAAGGCGGGCUAAUACUAGAUAGAGCGACGGAACUCGUAAGGAGUUUUUCGGGAAAGGGAGCUCGCAAGAGCCCUCGCUUUGGGAUGAGCCUGCGGCCCAUUAGCUAGUUGGUAGGGUAAUGGCCUACCAAGGCAAUGAUGGGUAGCUGGUCUGAGAGGAUGAACAGCCACACUGGAACUGAAACACGGUCCAGACUCCUACGGGAGGCAGCAGUGGGGAAUAUUGCGCAAUGGACGAAAGUCUGACGCAGCAACGCCGCGUGAGUGAAGAAGGCCUUCGGGUUGUAAAGCUCUGUUGAAGGGGACGAAAAACCAGUCGGUUCAUACCCGAUUGGCUUGACGGUACCCUUCGAGGAAGCACCGGCUAACCCUGUGCCAGCCGCCGCUGUAAAAC
rnacentral:rRNA from 1 species